rnacentral:misc_RNA from 1 species
CAACCCCUCAAGCUCUGCUUGGUGUUGGGCCCGCGGGGUAAACCCGCCGGCCCCAAUUCUAGUGGCGGUCUCUUGUGAACACCGAGCGUAGUAAUGCUUUCGCUUUGGGCCGAUCAAGAGGGCUGGCCGUAAAACCCCCAAAUUCUCAA